ensembl:lncRNA
ACCUCGGCCCCGGCCGCCGCCGCGGUGCAGGCGGCUCCCGGCGGGGCGCUAUGCCUCACGCCCCGCUCGGCGGCGGGGGGAGGCUCUGUCCCCUCACCCUUCCUUUACUACGACUGCUAUCGUCGUUAGCGUUUGACGUGCGGCGCGGCCCGGCACUCCCUGUCCCCCGUCCUGGAGGGGGAGCGGCGGCUCAGGUGCUGACAGCCGAGCCGCCAGCUCCAGCGGUUGCGGUUGCAGCUGCGGCUCCGGCUCCGCUCGAGGGCAGCGGCAGCCGGCAGAGAAGGGGACGCGGAGUGGCGGCGGCGAGAAAAGGCUACAGCAGUCCACAGUUCCCACAGGCACUACUGAAAUGGAGGUUGUUCUCAGUGGUGUGUACGUUGGCAGGCUCACCAGGCACUUGUGCUAAGGAUUAGCCAGCUGGUAAGUCAAGCAGUGGGUAACUGCUGAAGUCACACCAUCUUUCCUUCAUCUUUCCUCCAUGUCCAGCAGACACAGAUUAGCAGUCCCUUUUAUCUGACUGCUGGUUUGCAUGAUGCUUAGUAUCUCCAUGUUGAAUUUGGCUGAAAUUGUAGAAAGGAUUUAAAAAGUGUUUGGGAGCAAAGAGGUGGAUACUGAAUGCAAUUGUAUUUUAUUAAGAGACAGAGGUAAAAAUGGGGCAUGUGCAGAGGUCAUCUUUUUGAGUUGCUUAUUUCCUGCUCUGUAGUAAGCCCAGUUCGUGUAAGUUUCUAUCACUAGGUAUUAGUAUGCCAGCCUUGAUCACAACUUCCCAUUCUUGGGCUUUCUGGGAUUUAAUUUUUGAGGCUCCUGUAAGACUUUGAAGAGUUUCUCAACACUUUUUGUGUGCAAUUAAGGGCCCAUUUAGUGCUAAAAUACUUACUGUGCAUUGCUUUUUGACUUCUUUUUCACACACAAAAAAAAUCUUCACAGAGUUCUGCUCUGUGAUCUUAGCCUGAGAUUAAAGAAGCUUUGGCUCCGAAGGCCUCUCAAGCCUUCAAAUACUGUGCCUUACGUAGGUGAGAAAGGUUUUGCAUUGCCCAGAGAAAUAUUUUUCAAGGUUCAGGAUUGAGUCUAGUGCAGGGAGUCACCAAAUGAUCCACUUAGACUUUGUGUACCGUUGUGGUUUAAACCCAGCUGGCAACUAAGUACCAUGCAGCAGCUCGCUCACUCCCACCCCUCCUCCCUCGAGUGGGAUGGGGAGGAAAAUCAGAGAAAAUGUAAAAACCCAUGGGUUGAAGUAAGAACAGUUUAAUAAUUGCAAUAAAAAGUAAAAUACAAUAACAAUAAUAGGAAAUACGGAGGAAGGAAUAAAACAAGUGAUGCACUAUCCAAUUGCUCACCACUUCUGACUGAUGCCCAUUGCGUCCUUGCGCAGUGAUCAGACCCUCCUAGCCAACUCCCCCCAGUUUAUAUACUGAGCGUGGUGCGCUGUGGUAUGGAAUACCCCUUUGGUUAGUUUGGGUCAGGUGUCCUGUCUCUGCUUCCUCUCAGCUUCUUGUGCCCCUCCUCGCUGGCAGAGCAUGAGAGACUGAAAAGUCCUUGAUCAGGGUAAGCACUGCUUUGCAACAACUAAAACAUCGGUGCCUUAUCAACCUUGUUCUCAGACUAAAGCCAAAACACUGCACUGCACCAGCUAAUAGGAAGGAAAAUAACUGUAUCCCAGC